UUUGUUAUAACUCUCAGUGACAGCAUCAAUAAGCAUAUGCAGUUAUGAGACCUGAAAAAUGAACAACAGUACUCAAUUAACUUCUCUGUAGCAUUCAGAAAAAGAAUAAUCAGGGUAUGUAUGAAUGGAGGUAACUUGGCUCAAGUAUACAAAUAAAUAGAUGGUGGCAAAACAAGCACAGUAUUUUUUUCUUACCACCCAACAUUCUGGAAGAGGAAGCCUUAGAAGAUACCCCUCCGUGUUAAACUGA